AUUAAAGCCAAAUUGGAUGGGUUGCCAAUUUUUGCUGAUUUUUUCAAUUGUGCCCGGGCAGCCAUCUGUUUUGUUGUUGGAGUAAUUGUGUCAUUCUGCUUGUCAAAAAAUCCCAGCCUUCUUGUGGACCACUUGUGGCCACGUUGCAAGAGAAACUCAGGGAAAGAGGGAGAGGGAGAGGAAGAGGAAGAGAUGUUGGACCUGCGGCAUAUUUGACAGGGUGAUCCAAAGGGGCAUCGAGCAUCAGUAGAGAAAUUUUUUUCCAAGGCAUUUUGUGUAGGUUUUUUGGUCUUCUAAUCUGGGUAUAGUUUGAUGAUAUAUAAUGGGUUUUGAUUUUUCCCUUUCUGGAUUAGUUUUUGGUUGUCUUUUCCAAAUUUUUGCUGAUCUCCGAAGUGGUAAGGUUUCUUUUCAGAACAAUCAUUUUGGGGUUUUUUCCCCCUGCGAGUGCCUUGACGAUUUUGGGGGUUUUUUGUUGCAUCGUUUGCUACAGGUUUAGGUGCUUUGGUGUUGUAUCAGUAGAGAGUCUUUCUUUCUCUCUCUUCGAACCAGAAGUUCUUUGCCUUUUCUGGACUAUUGCUCUUCCUCAAAAGGGAAUUGGUUCAAAAAGGCCUAUUUGUUCUAUUUCGAUUUGCUAGUGAGAUGAGAGGCAAAGAGGCUUUGUGGUUUAUCGAUCGACUCCUUCUUGGCUACAAUAGGGGUUGUGCGGUUGUAUGUAUCAAUGGUAGUGAAAUCUAUUGGCUCUUUAUCUGGAUUUUCUUGGGUUUGUUAUUUGUACUAAUGAGAUGAACUAUAGUAAAUGUGUCCAGUUCCUGGUUCCUUUUUCCUUAUCCUUAUUGUUGUCAAACCUCUUAAAUUGGUUUUAAUGGACUGUUCUAAAUAACAAGUUUAUUUUUUGAAGGAGAGAGUGAUGAGCAUUUUGAAACCACAACAUUUUAUACCCAUUCAUGGAGAAAUCUUAUUCCUGAAAGACCAUGAAUUAUUUGGAAUGUCUAUAAUGUCACUACGAAAUCAUCACACUAAUGUAAGUUUUAUUUCAUAAUGCGUGUUGAUUAAUUUAGGUGCUGAUCUAUUUGAGCUAUUCUUUGAUCAUCAUUAGUUGUUUCAGUUAGGAUUUCUAGUUUUUGAGAUUUUGUGCAUUUUAGUUUACCGGUGAUUUAUCUUUCUUUCUCUUUUUUUUGUGUAUUUAAUUUUUGAAUUAUCUUAAGGGUUGUAUUUUUUAUUUUUUUUACCUAGCUUUUAAUUUUUAAUAGUCUUUGAGUCAAUGUUGUAGUGAUUCUUCAAUAUUUUCUGGUUUCAGCUUAUUUCAUUCAUGUAGAAAUGGUCGUGUUUAGUUUUUGGAGCAAUGGCAAAGGUAUGGAAAUUCUUGUCACGGUUACCAAAUUUAUUGCUCUUAUUGUCGAGUUCUCUCUUGGGUUUUGAAUGUUUUGGAGCUUUUGGGUGAUCUGAACUCUUAACAAAAAUAGAUUAGACAUGUUAUUGUACUUCCCUGAGUGUUUGUACCCUUUCGUGUGGUAGACAGAGUCCUGCCCCACUCAGUUAGGACUGUACAAUUUCUUUGAUUCUCUUUGGGUAUGUAUUGGUUUGCACCCUCAAUAAAUCUUCUUAGGGACAAACCUGAGCUAUGGCUACCGGAAAUAGAAAUUGAAGUUUUGGCUAAUUUCUGCUUCACACUACUAUUUAGCGUGUUAUUAAAUUAAUUAAUUUUAUAACCAUUGCAUAUAAGGACGACUUAAUUUGAUAGAAACCACUUUGGAUAGAUAAAGCACUUUCCAUUCUGCAAACUACUACACUUGUUUCUAACUACUUUAGAUUGAUUUGAACUAAUAAAUGGAAAAUAUAGUUGCUUUUCUCUUUGCUAAUAUUGAAGACUAAAAAUAAAAUGCAUUCAACAUGGAUUUAGAAGAAACAACUACAACGAUGAUGAAAUAGUCUAGAAAUUGUUCAACUUUAACUAUCAUUGUGUUUCUGGACUAGCAAAUUCAUUUUUCAUCCAUAUAAAAAGUGAAAGAUGCCAUUGAUAGAGUCAACAUUUGGUUUAAUAAUGAUGCCAUGAUUAUUGCGUAGGUAUUGCCACAGGGGUAUAAGCGAUUUCUACAAGGUCACAACAGGACAACCAUCACAGAGCCAUGGAUAAUCGUGCUUCUGCCAUAGUUAAAAUUCUACUUAUAACUUGAUGUUAUAUAUAUGUUAGCAAGCCAUGUAAGUGCAAAAAAUCAUCAUUGCCCUCAAGUUUUAAGCUCUUGUUAUGCUAUAGCUCACUACAAUUACAAAGGGGUGUCAAUCUUGCCUCUCAGUUGCUAAGUUUGUGGUGACUUCUCUAUUUUCUUCCCGCGUUUAGUUAGAUUUAUUUUUUUGUUCUUUGCUGUGAAGGCACAUUAAAUUUAUUCUUGAGAUUUCAUAUUUUAUCAUUGAUAUCUCGAGCCCGUCUUUUGGACCGGUUCCUACCAGAUGGAGCACGAAGACAUAAAGAAUAAAAGAAAAGAAAAAUGGGGGGGAAAAAAAGGGCUUCCUAAUUGAUGCCUUGCCGUUGGUGUUUCAAAAUGGGCUUCAAGAGGGAUGGGUAGAUUGGGUGAAAACUAAGCAUUGUAUUUGCUUUGUUUUUUAACACAUCCUAAAAAAUGAGAAACAAACACAAGGAUCAAGUUUUAAACACUUAGAAUAAAUCAACUACACUUUGGUCUACCCCUGCCAACUAGCAAUUUAUUUGUAAAGGAAUUUAUCUUCCAAUUCCUAAAGUUCUCCUCUAUUGUUGUUCUAUAAUUGCAGGUUUUCGGAGCUUUCUCGCACAUUUUGUCAAUUGAGAGACAAGAAGCAUGCCGGAGAUUGUGGAAAUAUUUGAGUAGUUGUUAUGUCUUGUGUCACAUUCUUUAAAUAAGUCUUGUAUCAAGUUAUCUCUUAAUAUAAAUAAUGAAUCUUUGUGUUAGGGUUAAUUAACACCUUAUACAUUUUUUUUUUCUUUCUCUUA